UUUAUGGCUCAUUCAGUCAUAUCACACUGCAAGCUGCAUUCAUUAAUCUUCAAUUGGAUUUUGCAAAUGUUUAAUUAAACACGUUUCCCUUUUAUGCAGAUAUGCAAUGGCAAGCCCUUCCGUGUGUUCCAAAUACAAUGCCUACGCCUAGCCACAGCAGCUCCCUCAUACAGACUCCGCAAGCCAAGAUGCCCUGGAAGCAAAUGCAGGUAAGAGGCAAGAAGCAAUAGCACUGGUAUCGAUAUUCAUCUAUUUCUUUCCUUUUCUUUCGUUUAGGCAGCCAGCACACCUCGAACAACCACCUUGACUGCGGGUGUGUCACCCUAGUCGCCAAGGAAACAUUUGAGGGAAAGCAACAGGCAAUGUGAACAGCCACUUCUCCAUGUAAACAAUACUCUUUCUCUCAGAUGACUCCUAUGCCUCGCCUUGCCAGCACACUUGUGCACAAAGACGCUGCGGAGGCACGUGCAGGUCAGAGGCAAGAAGCAGUGGCACUGGUGUCGACAUUCACCCAAUUUCUUUUUCUUACACCGAGGCAGCCAGCACACCUCGAACAGCCACCUUGACUGCGGGUGUGUCAGUAGAUUCCUGUUGUACAUAUGCUCAUAAUAAACUUCAGUAAACUUGAACUUGAUAAUAAACUUGAAGGCAAAUGGGA
rnacentral:lncRNA from 1 species